GAUGAACGCUAGCGGGAGGCUUAACACAUGCAAGUCGAGCGGGAUAAGUAGCAAUACUUUGAGAGCGGCGCACGGGUGCGUAACGCGUAUGCAACCUGCCUUAUACAGGGGGAUAGCCCAUGGAAACGUGGAUUAAUAUCCCAUAGGACUUAUGAAUCGCAUGGCUAAUAAGUUAAAACUACGGUGGUAUAAGAUGGGCAUGCGUCUGAUUAGGUAGUUGGUAGGGUAACGGCCUACCAAGCCGACGAUCAGUAGGGGUUCUGAGAGGAUUACCCCCCACACGGGUAAUGGGACACGGACCAGACUCCUACGGGAGGCAGCAGUGAGGAAUAUUGGUCAAUGGGCGAUAGCCUGAACCAGCCAUCCCGCGUGCAGGAUGACGGCCCUAUGGGUUGUAAACUGCUUUUGUACGGGAAGAAACACUCCUACGUGUAGGAGCUUGACGGUACCGUAAGAAUAAGGAUCGGCUAACUCCGUGCCAGCAGCCGCCGUAACAC
rnacentral:rRNA from 1 species